CGCCAGCCCGCUCCAGGCUGCCGGGCGGGCUCCGCGCCCUCCCCUCCUUCCCUUCCCCGCCACCGCCCUGUCAGGCCGGGGGCCGUCCCGCAGCGGAGCGCCGCGGGGCGGGGCGGGCUGACAGCGCGGCGGCCGGGGCGCGUUGCGGACGGUGGCGUUACUGGAGAGCGGCUGUCAGCGGGCGGGCAGCCAUGUGGCGCUGGAGGCUCCUUCCCUCGGUGGUGCUACUCGCCGUCCUGGUCCCUGUCAGAGGUGAUCUUGACGACUUCAACUUAGAAGAGGCACUUGGCACUACAAAGAAGCCUCUUCCAACUCGGAAACCACCAGCAUCAGAUCAUGAUGAUUUCAACUUGGAAGAUGCUU